CGGCAAUUUCGCCACAUCCGCCGCGAGGCGGAGCCGGAAAGCCACGGGUCUUGGAAUAAGACGGCCGGGUUGCCUUC
rnacentral:ncRNA from 1 species